AAACGCUUGAAGUCAGUCGCGUUGUCUGGGGAUCAGCCUUGCUUUUGCUUGGUGUACUUCCUAGUCAAUGGGUCAACAUCAGUUUUGACUGUUGGAAAAAGAUUAGAGGAAUGUGGCAUCUUCGGAUGUGUUAUAGCCUCUGGUUGUAUACAGCAGUUGGGACUGAGGAACUCAGCACGCCGCAAGGCCGGGAUUUAUCCACGUACGUGCUUAGGAUGUUGGCAUAAUGGCUUUAAUCGA
rnacentral:rRNA from 1 species